CGAACGGGUGAGUAACGCGUGAGGAACCUGCCUCAAAGAGGGGGACAACAGUUGGAAACGACUGCUAAUACCGCAUAAGCCCACGGGUCGGCAUCGACCUGAGGGAAAAGGAGCAAUCCGCUUUGAGAUGGCCUCGCGUCCGAUUAGCUAGUUGGUGAGAUAACGGCCCACCAAGGCGACGAUCGGUAGCCGGACUGAGAGGUUGAACGGCCACAUUGGGACUGAGACACGGCCCAG
rnacentral:rRNA from 1 species